GAUGAGGGAUGUAAAAUAGUCAAAUAUGAACAUCAAGAGACCUUUUGAUCUUUGUGGUACAUGAUCUGUGUUUCUGAGA